rnacentral:rRNA from 1 species
UACGAAGGGGGGCUAGCGUUGCUCGGAAUCACUGGGCGUAAAAGGGCGCGUAGGCGGCCGUUUAAGUCGGGGGUGAAAGCCUGUGGCUCAACCACAGAAUUGCCUUCGAUACUGGACGGCUUGAGACCGGAAGAGGUAAGUGGAACUGCGAGUGUAGAGGUGAAAUUCGUAGAUAUUCGCAAGAACACCAGUGGCGAAGGCGGCUCACUGGCCCCGAUACUGACGCUGAGGCACGAAAGCGUGGGGAGCAAACAGG